GUGUAAUUCUGUGCAAGAAAUGUGGUCCCAAAUGAAAAUUAAGUUUGAAAAUAUUGGGGGAUCUUAAAAAAAAUGAACUUCUUGAUCUUCUUUGUCAAUAUUUUGGACCCAAGAGAUAGAUUGGAAUAUAUGUCUUUCCAGUUUGUCCAUUUGUAUGGUGAAGUGAAGGGGAAACAGUGUUUAGAAAAUGUCCAAGCUGCAAUGCUAGAAUUGUAUAAUGACUAUGCAAGCACCUACUCUGUGCAUGUGUAAUCUGAAUCAUCUUCAGGUGGCUAACCUAUUGUGCA